CCCCUUCUGGUGCGGACCAGGGGAAUCCGACUGUUUAAUUAAAACAAAGCAUCGCGAAGGCCCGCGGCGGGUAUGUUCCUUCUUUACCCAAUUUGAUUUCUGCCCCAUGAUC